rnacentral:misc_RNA from 1 species
UCGUAUCUCUGGCGGGGAGACCGAGCCCCGCUCCGGCCCCGAAAGGCCGUGCAGCGGGUUCGCCUCCCCGUCCAAACCUUUGCAAACCCCUCUGUGCACUUUAGCGGUGGAGGGCGACGGGGCGAGAGCCCUGGCGUCCGAGGCCGUAACAAACUCCAAACUCGAAAGAAUGAACUGCGGCCCUUAGGUGUCGCCUAAAACACAUAA